GCCGAUGUAGCUCAAAGGUAGAGCAACGGUUUUGUAAACCGUAGGUUGUAGGUUCAAAUCCUAUCAUCGGCU
rnacentral:tRNA from 1 species